UUUACUAUUUGCAUUUAAUUGUUGUACAAAGGUUUUCUACAAACCCUAAAUCCAUUGUCGCGCCUGCCUACUCUCCACAUAUCCCGAUCCAUGAAAUUGAUUUCACCACUUGAUUAUUUCUCUAUUUCUGAUGCGCAACUGAUCUCCAUGGAUAUACCAAUUUGAUUUUGCAUUCACGAUACGUAAUCCGUAUGUUUCUUCGCCUUGAAUUUUAAGGAUUUUUCGGUUAUCAUGUCGUCAGUUGUAGCAAGAACGCGUCAUCAUCUUCAGCGUUACGAUAACAAUCUUCGCUUCUGUUAGGGGCCUUUGUAUGCGUUAUAGCUGGUGAUUGGAUGUAUACAACAGAGGAGGUGUAAUUGGAACCCUGUGCUUCAUAUGCAGAAUUACUUUUCUUUGACCAAGGUGUUGUACGAGUUGCAACAGGUGAUGUGGAGGCGUCAACGACAAAAUUGUGGUGGAUAGUAGGAUCCGGUGAUGAGUGGAGUGUCCGAGAAAAAAGUGUAAGAGAUCUGGUGGUGUUGGGUCCAGAUGGGUCAGAAUUCAACUAUUGCCAAAUGGGCUAGCAAGUUGUUAAAGAAUGAAAUAUUAGAUUAUGAUGAAAAAGAUGUCACCCUUGUGUUUGAUGUUGCUGCAUCUAUCAUGCAUUCACGACAUGUUAUAUAUUAUUAUGUUUAUUAUUGAUUUGAGAGUUGUAGCUCAGUCAUCAUAUGUUGUUUCAGGCUAUUUGAAAGUGGACUAGCUUAAGUUGGAACUGAUUUUUUUAUCUUCCCUUUAUAGGAUACAUAUAUCAACCACGAGUAUCAGUAUUGAAAUUGGGAAAUAGCUAAAGAGUUUGUUGAAAUGUUAGCUCCGUGAUUCUAACUACUGAAUGGGUCAAGGGAAAGCAUAUGGAAGAAGUUCUGACCAUCAAAAACACGUGAGUUUUGGUCCUUUUUUCUCUAGCGUGCUUGAAUGAAUAUGCGUUUAUUUUUCUAUUUCUUAUUCUUUUUUUUCUUAUAUUUUCCGAAUUCGCUCUUCAUUAAUAAGGGGUUAAGGGUCUUUUGUUUCUUUC